rnacentral:pre_miRNA from 1 species
UUACAAUUAAAGGAUAUUUCUCGUGAUUGCAAAAACCUCGGAAAUAUCUUCUAAUUGUUCGGU